rnacentral:lncRNA from 1 species
AUUGAUAGAGUUAGAUGACAUUUCUCUUCUGGCUCGAUAAUUUUUCAUUAUUGGCCUUGUACAUUUUUUCUUUUCAUAUAAUAUAAUAUAUUUGCAGUGGAUGAUCCACUGUUUUCCCUCAAAAAAAAACUAAAAACAACUAAUGCAAAAAAAAAGGUUCAUCGUUGGUCGCCGUAGUAAUCUGUUAUCCAGCAGAAGAAGAAAUGUAUGGUUUACAAAACUUGUAAGUAGAUUAUCAUGUAUUAACAAAUAGUUGCAUUGUGAAUCAAAGCGUAAGAAAAGGGUGGAAAGUUGUGCCAACAAGAAAACUUCCAUGUGAGAGAACUCUGAUCGCGAUAGUAAACCAGGAGCUACCACGUGAUAUCACUCUAAAAUAGGGUGUGCA